AGUGAUCGCUGGCGGCGUGCUUAACACAUGCAAGUCGAGCGAAUUUCAGCAGCACAUCGCUGGAGUUAGCGGCAGACGGGUGAGUAAUAUUUAGGCAAUCUACCCUCUAGUGGAAAACAACCUGCCGAAAGGCGGGCUAAUGUUCCAUAAGACCACAGGAUGACAUCAUCCAGAGGUUAAAGCUCCGCAAGGGGCGCUAGUGGAGGAGCCNGAAUCCUAUCAUGGUAGUUGGUGAGGUAACGGCUCACCAAGCCUUCGACGGGUAGCCGGCCUGAAAGGGUGAUCGGCCACACUGGCACUGAGACACGGGCCAGACUCCUACGGGAGGCAGCAGUGGGGAAUUUUGGACAA
rnacentral:rRNA from 1 species